rnacentral:misc_RNA from 1 species
GAUGAAGAACGCAGCGAAAUGAGAUACGUAAUGUGAAUUGCAAAUUCAGUGAAUCAUCGAGUCUUUGAACGCACAUUGCGCCCCCUGGUAUUCCGGGGGGCAUGCCUGUCCGAGCGUCAUUGCUGCCCUCAAGCACGGCUUGUGUGUUGGGCCCCGUCCUCCGAUUCCGGGGGACGGGCCCGAAAGGCAGCGGCGGCACCGCGUCCGGUCCUCGAGCGUAUGGGGCUUUGUCACCCGCUCUGUAGGCCCGGCCGGCGCUUGCCGAUCAACCCAAAUUUUUAUCCAGGUUGACCUCGGAUCAGGUAGGGAUACCCGCUGAACUUAAGCAUAUCAAUAAGCGGAGGA